UCAGGCUUGGGUAACUGGGUGCUCUUUCCAUUGCCUCGCAGAGCGCCUGCACACGCUAAGGCUGAGCACACACCAUUUGGACCUUUGCCUACAGGCUAAGCAGCCCACCCGGUUCAAUGGAAGGACAGACCCAAACUGUCCUGUCUGUGACGUUCCCUGCCCCUUCUAGUGAUGUCUGACACCUUCACUGGAGAUCCGGAGACAGAAGCCCCACUGCUCUGAAGGCCAGAAUGGAUUGUUGCUGAUGCCUGCUGGUUGGGGGUGAGACCUCUCCGGUGCCUCAGCACCCUGUAAGACCUCAGGACCUUUGCUUCACCUUGGUGGAGGAACCCUAAGAAAGGCUGAAGUUGAGUGUCUUGCUAAUCCAGCAAGAUGGGCAUUCAGAGUAGAAGAUCUGUUCGGAGGACUCCUGACUAAGAGCCAGCUCCUGAAACCGAAAGCCUUGUGAUUUGGAGUUGGACACAUCUGGUUGUGGUUUGCCCAGGUCAGCAGGCCUGCGCUAGUGAGCUGGUUAGAACUUCCCCUCUCGGGGCCGUGUGUUGACUGCUGCAAGCCUGCGGGACGCCAGACACCAUGCGUGGUCCCCCACAUGAAAGGACCCUGUCUGCCGGGCCUCCAGGGAGUCAUCCUCAGAGGAAGCUGGGUUCCUGGAAAGCUCUAUGUGGAGCUGUGACCCCAGCCCCACGGAGCCACGCUGACCCUGGCAGGUGAUGCCCUCAGCUUCCAUCACAGGUGGCCACGGCAAGCAGCCACAGGGAAUGGGGUUAUCUGCUAGACUUCCUACCUGCUGCGGGAGGGAGGUUGUGUUUCUAGCAGAGUGCCUAGAGAUGUGAGCUUCACAGAAGAUUGUGACAUGCUUCGGGCUUUCUCGUAUUGAGAUCCGUGCAACAGGCCAUGCCUCUCUUUUCCCUUUGACUACCAGAAAGCUCAGAACCAAAUAAGUGGUUCAGUUAUAACAACUGACUUCA